rnacentral:rRNA from 1 species
GACGAAGGAUGCAAGCGUUAUCCGGAUUCAUUGGGUUUAAAGGGUGCGUAGGCGGACUUGUAAGUCAGUGGUGAAAUCUCUUUGCUUAACAAAGAAACUGCCAUUGAUACUGCAGGUCUAGAGUAUAGAUGACGUUGGCGGGAAUAUGACAUGUAGUGGUGAAAUACUUAGAUAUGUCAUAGAACACCGAUUGACGGAAGGCAGCUAACGAAACUAUAACUGACGCUGAGGCACGAAAGUGCGGGGAUCAAACAGG